GAAGCGGGUGCUUGCACUCGUGGAUCAGUGGCGAACGGGUGAGUAACACGUGAGUAACCUGCCCUCCACUCUGGGAUAAGCGCUGGAAACGGCGUCUAAUACUGGAUACGACCGACCCUCGCAUGGGGUGUUGGUGGAAAGAUUUAUCGGUGGUGGAUGGACUCGCGGCCUAUCAGCUUGUUGGUGGGGUAAUGGCCUACCAAGGCGACGACGGGUAGCCGGCCUGAGAGGGCGACCGGCCACACUGGGACUGAGACACGGCCCAGACUCCUACGGGAGGCAGCAGUGGGGAAUAUUGCACAAUGGGCGAAAGCCUGAUGCAGCGACGCCGCGUGAGGGAUGACGGCCUUCGGGUUGUAAACCUCUUUCAGCAGGGAAGAAGCUUUUGUGACGGUACCUGCAGAAGAAGCACCGGCUAACUACGUGCCAGCAGCCGCGGUAAUACGUAGGGUGCGAGCGUUGUCCGGAAUUAUUGGGCGUAAAGAGCUUGUAGGCGGUUUGUCGCGUCUGCUGUGAAAAUUCAGGGCUUAACCCUGGACGUGCAGUGGGUACGGGCAGACUAGAGUGUGGUAGGGGAGACUGGAAUUCCUGGUGUAGCGGUGGAAUGCGCAGAUAUCAGGAGGAACACCGAUGGCGAAGGCAGGUCUCUGGGCCAUUACUGACGCUGAGAAGCGAAAGCAUGGGGAGCGAACAGGAUUAG
rnacentral:rRNA from 1 species